UACAGAGGGUGCAAGCGUUGUUCGGAAUUAUUGGGCGUAAAGCGCGUGUAGGCGGCCCUGCAAGUCGGAUGUGAAAUCCCACGGCUCAACCGUGGAAGUGCAUUUGAAACUGCAGGGCUAGAGUCCUGGAGAGGAAGGUGGAAUGCUUGGUGUAGAGGUGAAAUUCGUAGAUAUCAAGCGGAACACCGGUGGCGAAGGCGGCCUUCUGGACAGUGACUGACGCUGAGACGCGAAAGCGUGGGGAGCAAACAGG
rnacentral:rRNA from 1 species